rnacentral:rRNA from 1 species
GAUGAACGCUGGCGGCGUGCCUAAUACAUGCGAGUCGAGCGAACAGACGAGGAGCUUGCUCCUCUGACGUUAGCGGCGGACGGGUGAGUAACACGUGGAUAACCUACCUAUAAGACUGGGAUAACCUCGGGAAACCGGAGCUAAUACCGGAUAAUAUAUUGAACCGCAUGGUUCAAUAGUGAAAGACGGUUUUGCUGUCACUUAUAGAUGGAUCCGCGCCGCAUUAGCUAGUUGGUAAGGUAACGGCUUACCAAGGCGACGAUGCGUAGCCGACCUGAGAGGGUGAUCGGCCACACUGGAACUGAGACACGGUCCAGACUCCUACGGGAGGCAGCAGUAGGGAAUCUUCCGCAAUGGGCGAAAGCCUGACGGAGCAACGCCGCGUGAGUGAUGAAGGUCUUCGGAUCGUAAAACUCUGUUAUUAGGGAAGAACAAAUGUGUAAGUAACUAUGCACGUCUUGACGGUACCUAAUCAGAAAGCCACGGCUAACUACGUG